rnacentral:rRNA from 1 species
UGGGGAAUUUUGGACAAUGGGGGCAACCCUGAUCCAGCCAUGCCGCGUGCGGGAAGAAGGCCUUCGGGUUGUAAACCGCUUUUGUCAGGGAAGAAAUGCUCUGGGCUAAUACCUCGGAGUGAUGACGGUACCUGAAGAAUAAGCACCGGCUAACUACGUGCCAGCAGCCGCGGUAAUACGUAGGGUGCAAGCGUUAAUCGGAAUUACUGGGCGUAAAGCGUGCGCAGGCGGUCGUGCAAGACAGGUGUGAAAUCCCCGGGCUUAACCUGGGAACUGCAUUUGUGACUGCACGGCUUGAGUACGGCAGAGGGGGAUGGAAUUCCGCGUGUAGCAGUGAAAUGCGUAGAUAUGCGGAGGAACACCGAUGGCGAAGGCAGUCCCCUGGGCCUGUACUGACGCUCAUGCACGAAAGCGUGGGGAGCAAACAGG